UCUAUUUCAAGCCUAGGGUUUCUCUUCAUUUUCUUCUUGUUCUUUUCACACCAUUUUAGCCAAAAACCACCCCUUCACUAAUUUCCAGUUAACAAAUCUUCAUUCUCAUUGCCGUUCACCUUUUUUGACUCUUCUCAUUGCCCUCAACCCCUUUCUCAUCUCUUUCUUGAUGCCGUGUAGUCCUUUCAAACCACCAACCAUCACACGUAAAAAAGGUUCCCUUGUUUUCCACCGUCAUUGCCGGUCGUUUCCCUGUCGUUUAUGCACCACCACCAUUGCCCCAUCUUUCUCUCUUCCUUGUUCCCUCACUCUCAACCAUCGCCAAAUCCACUGACCUCACCUUUUCCCUCUUCCUCAAAUUGCCAACAGAACCCAAACCCAUUCAACCUAUUUUCCCUUAUUAACUACUUCCAUCGCUGGCCCCCCUAGACUGUAUUCUCCACCCCUCCUUGACCAUCGUCUGAUAUACCCACGUCAAACAUACUACCGCCGUUCUAGUCUUCAUCGAUGAUGGCUCUUUCAACCUUCGUCGUCGUCGCCUUACCACUGUUUGGUUCCACCCCAUCCUUUUUAUUAUAUUUAUUAUAUUAUUCAUUUAUUUAAUAUUUUAAUUAUUCUUAUCUUAGUUUAUUAGUUUUAUUAUUCUAUGUGUUGUUGCAUUAUUAUUUUUAGUAUUAGGUUUAUUCUAUUUAUUACUGUUAUUAGUUUUAGAUUGUUAGUUUAGUUAUUUUUGCAUGAUUAAUAUUAGUUUUCCCUUUAGUUUAGGAGUAGAAUAUUGCUAUAUUAGUAUUGUGAUUUUGUUUUUGUCAUGUGAUGGUUUGUUGCUGAUGUGUUUCCACUUGUAUGCUAAUUUGUUUGUCUACUAGAUCAAUUAUCGGUGAUGCUUAUUUUUAUGGUUAUAUGAUAUUUGGUUAUUAUCCUUUAUUUCAGGUACAUCAUUACAAACACGAGAGGUAAAACCAAAGCCACUGUCCCUACCUUAAAAAGGAGGAAGACACCGGGUGCGACCUCGUCUUCGAUCCCUACUACAGUCGCAAGACACCCAUGU
rnacentral:lncRNA from 1 species